rnacentral:rRNA from 1 species
AGUGAACGCUGGCGGUAGGCCUAACACAUGCAAGUCGAACGGCAGCACAGUAAGAGCUUGCUCUUACGGGUGGCGAGUGGCGGACGGGUGAGGAAUACAUCGGAAUCUACUUUUUCGUGGGGGAUAACGUAGGGAAACUUACGCUAAUACCGCAUACGACCUACGGGUGAAAGCAGGGGAUCUUCGGACCUUGCGCGAUUGAAUGAGCCGAUGUCGGAUUAGCUAGUUGGCGGGGUAAAGGCCCACCAAGGCGACGAUCCGUAGCUGGUCUGAGAGGAUGAUCAGCCACACCGGAACUGAGACACGGUCCAGACUCCUACGGGAGGCAGCAGUGGGGAAUAUUGGACAAUGGGCGCAAGCCUGAUCCAGCCAUACCGCGUGGGUGAAGAAGGCCUUCGGGUUGUAAAGCCCUUUUGUUGGGAAAGAAAAGCAGCAGGAUAAUACCCCGCUGUUCUGACGGUACCCAAAGAAUAAGCACCGGCUAACUUCGUG